rnacentral:rRNA from 1 species
CUACGGGUUGCAGCAGUGAGGAAUAUUGCACAAUGGGGGAAACCCUGAUGCAGCAACGCCGCGUGGAGGAUGACGCAUUUCGGUGUGUAAACUCCUUUUAUGAGUCAAGAAAAUGACGGUAGCUCAUGAAUAAGCACCGGCUAACUCCGUGCCAGCAGCCGCGGUAAUACGGAGGGUGCAAGCGUUACUCGGAAUCACUGGGCGUAAAGGACGCGUAGGCGGGCUUGUAAGUCAGGUGUGAAAUCCUACAGCUUAACUGUAGAACUGCACUUGAAACUACGAGCCUAGAGUAUGGGAGGGGCAGAUGGAAUUAGUGGUGUAGGGGUAAAAUCCGUAGAUAUCACUAGGAAUACCGAAAGCGAAGGCGAUCUGCUGGAACAUUACUGACGCUAAGGCGUGAAAGCGUGGGGAGCAAACGGGAUUAGAUACCCUCGUAGUC